rnacentral:rRNA from 1 species
GACGAACGCUGGCGGCGUGCUUAACACAUGCAAGUCGAACGGAAAGGCUCCAGCUUGCUGGAGUACUCGAGUGGCGAACGGGUGAGUAACACGUGGGUAAUCUGCCCUGCACUCUGGGAUAAGCCUGGGAAACUGGGUCUAAUACUGGAUAUGACCUUUCUCCUUAUGGGGUUUGGUGGAAAGUUUUUCGGUGUAGGAUGAGCCCGCGGCCUAUCGGCUUGUUGGUGGGGUGAUGGCCUACCAAGGCGACGACGGGUAGCCGGCCUGAGAGGGUGAUCGGCCACAUUGGGACUGAGAUACGGCCCAGACUCCUACGGGAGGCAGCAGUGGGGAAUAUUGCACAAUGGGCGGAAGCCUGAUGCAGCGACGCCGCGUGAGGGAUGACGGCCUUCGGGUUGUAAACCUCUUUCAGCAGGGACGAAGCGUAAGUGACGGUACCUGCAGAAGAAGCACCGGCUAACUAUGUG